rnacentral:rRNA from 1 species
AACGGAGGGUGCGAGCGUUGCUCGGAAUCACUGGGCGUAAAGCGCGUGUAGGCGGCCUGUCGCGUCGGGCGUGAAAGCCCUCGGCUUAACCGGGGAACGGCGUCCGAUACGGGCAGGCUUGAGGACCGGAGAGGAAAGGGGAAUUCCCGGUGUAGAGGUGAAAUUCGUAGGUAUCGGGAGGAACACCAGUGGCGAAGGCGCCUUUCUGGACGGUUACUGACGCUGAGACGCGAAAGCGUGGGGAGCAAACAGGAUUAGAUACCCGUGUAGU